rnacentral:rRNA from 1 species
CCAAAACUCUGCAAAUUAACUCCGUAACUUCGGGAAAAGGAGUGCCCUACUCCGGUAGGGCCGCAGUGAAAAGGGUCUAGCGACUGUUUACUAAAAACACAGGUCUGUGCGAAGGCGUAAGCCGCUGUAUACAGACUGACGCCUGCCCGGUGCUGGUAAGUUAAGGGAGAGGGUUAGCCCGUAAGGGUGAAGCUCGCAACCGAAGCUCCAGUAAACGGCGGCCGUAACUAUGACGGUCCUAAGGUAGCGAAGUUCCUUGUCGGGUAAGUUCCGACCUGCAUGAAUGGCGUAACGACUGGACCACUGUCUCCACGAGCGACUCGGUGAAAUUGUAGUUGUCGUGAAGAUGCGACAUACCCGCAGCUAGACGGAAAGACCCCGUGAACCUUAACUGCAGUUUGGUAUUGGGUUUAGACCCAGCAUGCGUAGCGUAGGUGGGACUCUGUGAAGCGUGGCUCUCGGGCCAUGUGGAGAGGCCGAUGUAACACCACCCUUGCUGUGUUUGAAUUCUAACUCCGACUCGUGAAUCCGAGCGGAGGACCGUGCUAGAUGGUCAGUUUGAUUGGGGCGAUCUCCUCCUAAACGGUAACGGAGGAGUCCAAAGGUACCCUCAGCCCGGUCGGCAAUCGGGCAUCGAGCGUAAAGGUAGAAGGGUGCUUGACUGCGAGACCGAUGGGUCGAGCAGGUGCAAAAGCAGGGCUUAGUGAUCCGGUGGUCCUGAAUGGAAAGGCCAUCGCUCAACAGAUAAAAGGUACUCCGGGGAUAACAGGCUUAUCUCCUCUGAGCGUUCAUAGCGGCGAGGAGGUUUGGCACCUCGAUGUCGGCUCAUCACAUCCUGGGGGUGGAGAAGCUCCCAAGGGUUCGGCUGUUCGCCGAUGAAAGUGGUACGUGAGCUGGGUUUAGACCGUCGUUAGACAGGUCGGUCCCUAUCUGCUGUGGGCGCAGGAAACUUGCGGGGCUUUCUCCCUAGUACGAGAGGACUGGGAGGGACACACCUCUGAUGUGCCAGUUGUGACGCUAGUUGCACCGCUGGGUAGUCACGUGUGGACGGGAUAAACGCUGAAGGCAUAUAAGCGUGAAACUUCCCCCUAGAUCAGGUUUCCAGCGCAAGCGAAGGCUCCCGGGAGACUACCGGGUCGAUAGGCCGGGCGUGUAAGAGGGGUUAACUCUCUGAGCCAACCGGUACUAACAGCCGAUUGUUUGGCCGC